rnacentral:tRNA from 1 species
GCCCUUCUAGUAUACUUAUUACAAUUGACUUCCAAUCUCUAAAAUCUGGUCCAAAUCCAGAGAAGGGCA